CCGCUGCCGGCCCAGCGCUUUGGGGAGUGACUUCCGGCCAUGCGGGGCCUCUACCGCUGCCAUCGCGGUCCCGGUCUCCUGAAGUGGAACCCGGCUUGGAGUCGAGCGCGACCCCUCGCCCGUGGGCGCAGGCGAUCGAGUAAGGGUGGGGCGGGCCUCAAACCCGGAUCAGAACCCGCCCUGACCGGCGCAGAGAUACGGGACGCAGCCUAAGCAAGGCCCGGGAAGAAGUUGGGUUUCCCUGCCAUCCUUCCUGCCCCAGCCCCUCAUCCUCAACUCACCAUCAACCCUUCCACGAUCCCAAAUCGCUCGUGGAUGACUUUGGCGAGGGGAGCCAAACAGUUGGUGGUGCAGGACGCGUUGCUGAAACAGCCAAGGUGUGCACGGACACUGUGAGGUGGUGACCUCCCCAACUCAGCCCUCAACCUCCUCAGAGGCGCCAAUGCUGACUGCUGUCAGCCAGCCCAGACCCUUUCUCCAUAUGCUGCCCGGGACGUGGACUCUGUGACUGUGAGGCCUGCCCGGCUGCUUUCUGCUUCCCAGCUCUGACAACCUCGCCAUGAACCCUCCUAGACCCUCAGCUCCUGCAAUAGGAAGCUGGCUGCCAAAGGCCAGGAGGGUCCCUGAAAACAGACACUGCAUUAAAGAAAAAGCUCCUGGAGGACUCCUGAAGCCUGAGGCAGCCUUGGGGCAGCAGUGGCUCAUGGUUUACAUUGGAAAGGUUUAUCAUGAGUAACCGGGUGCUUUGCUUCUGUGAUUCUUGGCCAGUGUCGGUCUGUUUCCUUUGCCAUUGAGCCUGCUCCCCUCAAUGGGGGGUUCAAUCAAUGUUUGUGGGGUUUGUUUGUUUUGAGACAGGGUCUUCCUCUGUCGCCCAGGCUGGAGUGCAGUGGUGCAAUCAGAGCUCACUGCAGCCUUGAUCUUCCUGGCUCCGGCCAUCCUCCUGCCUUGGCCUCCCGAGUAGCUGGGACUACAGGCGCACACCACCAUGCCAAGCUAAUUUUUAAAUUUUUUUGUAGAGAUGGGGUCUCACUUUUGUUGCCCAGGGUGCUUUAGAACCCCUGGGCUCAAGUGAUCCUUGACCUCCCACAGUGCUGGGAUUACAGGUGUGAGCCACCGUGCCUGGCCUCAUGGGUUUUCUUUGUUUUGUUUUGUUUUGUUUUUGAGACAGAGUCUCACUCUGUCACUCAGGCUGGAGUGCAGUGGCACGAUUUUGGCUCACUGCAACCUCCACCUUCCGGGUUCAAGCGAUUCUCCUGCCUCCGCCUCCCGAGUAGUUGGGGUUACAGGCAUGCGCUACCACACCUGGCUAGUUUUUUAUUGUUGUUGUUUUUUGUAUUUUUAGUGGUGACGGGGUUUGCUCUGUUGGCCAGGCUGGUCUCAAACUCCUGACCUCAGGUGAUCCCCACUUCAGCCUCCCAAAGUGCUGGGAUGACAGGCAUGAGCCUCUGCACCUGGCCUCGUGUUUUUUUUUUAGUUAGCCAUUUUAUACGUGUUUACUGAACACCUGUCCUGUGCCCAUAUUCUAAGUGCCUUACCUGCAUUAAACUCAUGUAACCUUCACAACCCGAUGAGGAAGUGCUACCGCUGUCAUUUUUUGCAUUUUUUUACUGCUGUCAGGGCAGAGGGGAGGGGAG
rnacentral:lncRNA from 1 species